GAUGAACGCUGGCGGCGUGCUUAACACAUGCAAGUCGAACGAUGAAGCUCAGCUUGCUGGGUGGAUUAGUGGCGAACGGGUGAGUAACACGUGAGUAACCUGCCCUUAACUCUGGGAUAAGCCUGGGAAACUAGGUCUAAUACCGGAUAGGAGCGCCUACCGCAUGGUGGGUGUUGGAAAGAUUUAUCGGUUUUGGAUGGACUCGCGGCCUAUCAGCUUGUUGGUGAGGUAAUGGCUCACCAAGGCGACGACGGGUAGCCGGCCUGAGAGGGUGACCGGCCACACUGGGACUGAGACACGGCCCAGAAGCCUACGGGAGGCAGCAGUGGGGAAUAUUGCACAAUGGGCGAAAGCCUGAUGCAGCGACGCCGCGUGAGGGAUGACGGCCUUCGGGUUGUAAACCUCUUUCAGUAGGGAAGAAGCGAAAGUGACGGUACCUGCAGAAGAAGCACCGGCUAACUACGUG
rnacentral:rRNA from 1 species